UACCUGGUUGAUCCUG
rnacentral:rRNA from 25 species